GCGACGGGCACCCAGCGAAGCCAAUCAGAGAUGGAAGUAGUGCUCUGAGGGUGGGCGCCGCUUGGUACCACCCUCCUCGCCCUCGGUGUCCUGGAGAAAGGCGGAAGGAAUGCGGACCUUUUUGAAGUGACGGACGCGCCAGCCUAUCAGGGGCGAGCUCAAGAGGGCGGGGCGGAAGACUGCAGGAAUGAAAUGGAUUGACAGACCAAAUAACUAAUGAGAGGCUUGAUUGAGAACCUACCCGACUAUCAGAGGACCUGUCCGGGAAGAGAAAUGGGGCUACGUCCAGUUUCCUCCUCUGUAAACUGAAGAAACCCGUCUCAUGGAAU
rnacentral:lncRNA from 1 species